AAGAACAAACCAGUAGACACGGCCCUAGUGGUACCUCUUCUUGCUACAGAGGUGUUCGCAAGAGGAAAUGGGGGAAAUGGGUGUCUGAGGUACGCGAACCUGGGAAGAAAACUCGGAUUUGGUUAGGGAGCUUUGAUACUCCAGAAAUGGCAGCUACUGCUUAUGAUGUUGCAGCUUUACAUUUCAGGGGACGUGAAGCCAAGCUUAAUUUCCCUGAAUUGGUUAACGAUCUUCC
rnacentral:misc_RNA from 1 species